UAUAAUAUCUCAUGGCUUUGGGAUCUCUUUGCGGUGGUCUGCUUGGGUUAGCUGCUCCCUCUAGUUUGGGUUUAGCAAAAUCCCACUUCUAGAGAAUCUACGGCUCAACCGCAUUAUGGGAUCCAGACGUGGGCCAGUCUCCCUUAGGUUUUAUCUCAGAACAAGACUUACUAUCCAUACAUUCAUCUGCCAGUUGGCUUGCAGGACACAGUUCCUUAGGUUUUCAGUCCAGUAGUCACAUUAUAAGGUUGUGUGGGCUUACCUCAUAGAAUUGUUCUAACCCCCCUAGUCGUGCAAGGCAUUCAGGGUAGUGACUCCUGUACCUUUGCCCCAUUUGCAGAGAUAGGCACUAAGAUAGGCAUCUGUAUCUACUGCUUGGUUCGCUCAGCUCAGUAGUCUCCUUUUAAAGUCAGCCAGCAUCUGAUGCUCCAGUUCCAACUUCUGUUCCUCCACCUGAGCUAUAGUUUUUACCAUUCCAGUUCUUGAGUUGGGAAACUGGGUCUUGAGGAUGUCCUGACUUUUCUCCAGCUGCUGCAGACACUGUGGUUGUCCUCUUCGGACUCACCCAGCUCCAUCUGGGUCUCCAUCUCCCCUGACCGACACAGAUGAACUGGACUGUCCUCGUGGAACCUCACCUGGGACUCGACCUUGUUCCUUCGCCAGGUCAUUUUCAUAUAGUGUUUUUUCAGCAAUAUACUUUGCAUAAGUAAUCUUCAGAUGCUCAGCUGAUAAGAACCAGUGGAAGAAGAAUCAAGAGCGAGAGAAGCAGAGGCGGUAUAGCACUAGCAUAGAUGUGGUUCACACAAGAGGUUCAAGAAAAACAUUCAGCAAACACUUUAGGAACCUCCACUAGGUUGCUUCUUUGUAACAAAACUUAAGACCAGAAAUGAUAGAUGGAACCAAUGAGAGCAAGAUGCCGUGUAAAAUCCUACUUUGUUGAACAAUGAUUAGAAUGUAAAACUGAAAGGGC